rnacentral:rRNA from 1 species
GCGCACGCUGGCGGCAGGCCUCACACAUGCACGUCGAACGAACUCUUCGGAGUUAGUGGCGGACGGGUGAGUAACACGUGGGAACGUGCCUUUUGGUUCGGAAUAACUCAGGGAAACUUGUGCUAAUACCGAAUGUGCCCUUCGGGGGAAAGAUUUAUCGCCAUUAGAGCGGCCCGCGUCUGAUUAGCUAGUUGGUGAGGUAACGGCUCACCAAGGCGACGAUCAGUAGCUGGUCUGAGAGGAUGACCAGCCACACUGGGACUGAGACACGGCCCAGACUCCUACGGGAGGCAGCAGUGGGGAAUCUUGCGCAAUGGGCGAAAGCCUGACGCAGCCAUGCCGCGUGAAUGAUGAAGGUCUUAGGAUUGUAAAAUUCUUUCACCGGGGACGAUAAUGACGGUACCCGGAGAAGAAGCCCCGGCUAACUUCGUG